GUUCUCACUUUGGCAGCAUAUAUACUAAAAUUGGAAUGAUACAGAGAAGAUAAUCAUGGCCCCUGCACAAGGAUGACAUGCAAAUUUGUGAAGCAUUCCUUAUAAAU
rnacentral:snRNA from 1 species